GUAGGUGAACCUGCGGAAGGAUCAUUAUUGAAUCCUUAGGAUGUCGCUGGUCUUUGCAAAAAGACAUGUGCACUCCGCCUUUCAAUCCACCUGUGCACUUGAUGUAAGCUUGUGAAGGGGAAACCCUAAUCAACUUACGUAUUUUUACACACACUAUUAAAAGUAACAGAAUGUAACUUAGUAGACCUUUGAUGGUCGAAAACCUAAAUACAACUUUCAACAACGGAUCUCUUGGUUCUC
rnacentral:misc_RNA from 1 species